rnacentral:rRNA from 1 species
GACGAACGCUGGCGGCGUGCUUAACACAUGCAAGUCGAACGGACAGACAGAGAGCUUGCUCUCUUGAAGUUAGUGGCGAACGGGUGAGUAACGCGUAAUCAACCUGCCCUUCAGAGGGGGAUAACAACGGGAAACCGUUGCUAAUACCGCGGACGAUUCAUGAACGGCAUCGUUUAUGAAUGAAAGGUGGCCGCUAUGUAUAAGCUAUCGCUGAAGGAGGUGAUGGGGUCUGAUUAGCUAGUUGGAGGGGUAACGGCCCACCAAGGCAAUGAUCAGUAGCCGGUCUGAGAGGAUGAACGGCCACAUUGGGACUGAGACACGGCCCAAACUCCUACGGGAGGCAGCAGUGGGGAAUCUUCCGCAAUGGACGAAAGUCUGACGGAGCAACGCCGCGUGAGUGAUGAAGGUCUUCGGAUUGUAAAGCUCUGUUAAUCGGGACGAAAGAGUUCUGCGUGAAUAAUGCAGAAAAGUGACGGUACCGGAAUAGAAAGCCACGGCUAACUACGUGCCAGCCGCCGCCGUAA